rnacentral:lncRNA from 1 species
UUUUUUUUCCCCCCGCUUUGGUGAACUCGCAGUACUUGGGCUGAGCCCGAAAUCUCGCGAGAUGCUGCAGGCGUCAGUGCGGCUUCCCACUAGGCGCGUGGUACCCGAGGCCGGGCCGGAGCCGCAGGCCAGCCGCGAUUCCUUCGGGCGAUGCUGGGGGCUUUCCGGUCGGGGCCGCAGCCGCUUCCGGAGCCGCGGGCGAGGUGCGUUCCCCAGCCUGGUUUGCUCUGGGCUCUGACCCGCCGCCGCGAAUCUCCGCUCGUAACUCCGGGCCUGAACCUGGAGGAGGGAGGAUUUCCUCUGUGCAGCUUUCGAGCGGUAGACUCACCCUGCCAGGCAGACCUAGAUUGGCAUAACCAGAGAUCAGUUCCAGUUGUGAUGCAGUGGGUGUCUACACACUUCUGAUGACACCUUUAUUUUAAAAGCUGAUGUUCCAAGGUGCAAGCGGUCUUCUCUGUCUUCUUUAUGGCCAGUAAAAUUCUCCAGAAGAGAUUUAUGGCAGCCUCACUCCCAGUAGUUUCUGCAUUUAGUGAGAUAAGGAAUGGAUUUUCUUCUGUGUAUUGCUGACACGAACAGGAGACGGAAAUACUGAGUAGAAGAGGGCGGUUCCCUGGCUAAGGCCCCACCCUCAAGCCUGGAUACCCGCGGCCCUAAAUGAGAAGAGGCGUUUCUGUUUGGGGCCCAAAAAGUUGCUUUUUGACCCACCACGCCCCCUAUCCUGCCCCCAUAUAAACCCCAAACCCCAACCUCCAGAGCAUACCAGCAGGUGAGGAGAUACGAGGCAAGCCGACUGACGGCAAAACGACGUAGCAGAGAAAGAGAGAAGAGGAGGGACGUCUGGACACCGAGAGAUGUUUGGCUCGGGGCAGUCAGAGCGGAGUCCAGCCCCUGGGCGGCCCAACUCCAGGGGAAGAUCACCUUCCCACUUCAUCCAUCCCCACCCUUCCAGCUCCCCAUCCAUCCUGCUGAAAGCCAUUUCCACCACUCAAUAAAACCUCGCAUUCAUCCUUCAAGUCCGUGUGUGACCCGAUUUUUCCUGGAUUCUGGAAAAGAGCUCGGAAUACAGAAAGCUGUCCCCUGGUCCUUUGCCCUUGUGAAAAAGCAGAAGGUCCAUUGAGCUGGUUAACACUCCAGCUGUCUGUGGUGGCCAAGCUGAAAGAGCUUUGUAACACUGGGGUUGCAGGCACCCACCUCUAGACGCUACCGCAGAGCCAGAGCCCAAAGCCCUCACCCCGGCCUCUGCACUUGCCCAUCUGCGUGCUCCCCCUCUCGCAAGGGGUUUCUGCAGAGGGGGCUACUGAACAGAUGGAAUCUUGCUCUCUUGCUCAGACUGGAGUGCAGUGGCAUGACCUUGGCUCACUGCAACCUCACCUCUCGGGUUCAAGCGAUUCUGCCUCAGCCUCUCGAGUAGCUGGGACUACAGGUGGGAGACCUCCACAGAACCCUUCCAGCAAGCUGUCUUCUAAAGCAAACAAGAAAAGGAAAGUCUGAGCAGUUUUGAUUAGAUUUCCCAGAAGUCAAAGCAAGGAAAAAUGAAAAAGCUUCAUUUCUCACGUUCUUAAAAGAGAGCACAGAUGUUGCAUCAUCUGGUUAGAUACCCUGAGAAUAAAAUCUGGAUCCAGUGAGAGGAAAGAUUCUGGGUGCUCAUGAAAAAAGAAACAAAACAAAACUUGGGAGCCUCUUGAGAGUGUACAGCAUCAGCCCUUGCCAACUCUUGUUUAUAUGCAUUUAACUUUCAGUUAACCAUGGGAAUAAUUCAUGAAAAUCCAAUCUACAAACAAAGGCCAUCCUAACGUUCAUGUUAUUCUUUUCCCUAAGAAUCUUUCACAAGAGCUAUAAUCAAGUAGAAUUAUGCUUUGAUUUGAAUUCUAAUUCAAUUGAAAAUAAAAAAUGAGGGCCGGACGCGGUGGCUCAUGCCUGUAAUCCCAGCGCUUUGGGAGGCUGAGGUGGACGGAUCACGAGGUCAGGAGAUCGAGACCAUCCUGGCUAACACGGUGAAACCCGAUCCCUACUAAAAAUACAAAAAAUUAGCCGGGCGUGGUGGCAGGCGCCUGUAGUCCCAGCUACUCGGGAGGCUGAGGCAGGAGAAUGGCGUGAACCCAGGAGGCAGAGGUUGCAGUGAGCCGAGAUCAUGCUACUGCACUCCAGCCUGGGCGACAGAGCGAGACUCUGUGUAUAAAUAAAUAAAUAAAUAAAUAAAUAACGAAAAGGUUGCCAUUGCCCUUUCUGGGGAAAGUGAUAAUGAGGAAAGACUAGUUUCUUAACCCAAGUCAGCUUUAGAGUCGGCAAGGAUGCAAUUUGAGGUGAUCCAGGAAAACUCUAUUAGCAUGGUAUUUCCCAUACAGAUUCAUUUCUUU